AGUGAACGCUGGCGGUAGGCCUAACACAUGCAAGUCGAACGGCCGCACAGUAAGAGCUUGCUCUUACGGGUGGCGAGUGGCGGACGGGUGAGGAAUACAUCGGAAUCUACUUUUUCGUGGGGGAUAACGUAGGGAAACUUACGCUAAUACCGCAUACGACCUACGGGUGAAAGCAGUGGAUCUUCGGACCUUGCGCGAUUGAAUGAGCCGAUGUCGGAUUAGCUAGUUGGCGGGGUAAGGGCCCACCAAGGCGACGAUACGUAGCUGGUCUGAGAGGAUGAUCAGCCACACUGGAACUGAGACACGGUCCAGACUCCUACGGGAGGCAGCAGUGGGGAAUAUUGGACAAUGGGCGAAAGCCUGAUCCAGCCAUACCGCGUGGGUGAAGAAGGUCUUCGGGUUGUAAAGCCCUUUUGUUGGGAAAGAAAAGCAGCAGGUGAAUACCCCGCUGUUCUGACGGUACCCAAAGAAUAAGCACCGGCUAACUUCGUG
rnacentral:rRNA from 1 species